rfam:Brachypodium distachyon strain Bd21 chromosome 4, whole genome shotgun sequence.
AAUGUACUCCCUCCGUUCCAUAAUUCUUGUCUCAAAUUUGUUCAAAAAUGGAUGUAUCUAUUCCUAAAAAAUGUCUAGAUAAAUGUAAUAUUUCGACAAGAAUUAUGGAACGGAGGGAGUAGGCA